rnacentral:rRNA from 1 species
GACGAACGCUGGCGGCGUGCCUAACACAUGCAAGUCGAACGGAUUUGUGAGGUGUGAGGUUAGAGGUUAGAGGUGAGAAAUUCUAAGGAAGAAAUCGGCGCAGGCCGAUUUCAACAAGAUUCUCACAUCCAACUUCUCACCUCGCACUUCGCAAAUUAGUGGCGGACGGGUGAGUAACGCGUGGAUGACCUACCUAUAUGUGGGGGAUAACAGUUGGAAACGACUGCUAAUACCGCAUGUGAUCACAAUUAUAAAGGUUGUGAGGAAAGAUGGCCUCUGUUUACAAGCUGUCGCAUAUAGAUGGGUCCGCGUCUGAUUAGCUAGUUGGUAGGGUAAAGGCCUACCAAGGCGACGAUCAGUAGCCGGCCUGAGAGGGUGGACGGCCACACUGGGACUGAGACACGGCCCAGACUCCUACGGGAGGCAGCAGUGGGGAUAUUGCGCAAUGGGGGAAACCCUGACGCAGCGACGCCGCGUGAGCGAAGAGACCG